UGGGACAUAGAAAAGAAGAAAGGUGCAUUGACAUUGCUCGAAACUUUGUUAAUAUUGUUGAAGGGUGGCUAGAAUAUAUAAGACCUCAAGCACGAGUGUUCAUAGAAACUAAAAAAAAACCAACAAUUGUGAAGCAAAAGGAAGGGCCCCCGACACUUGUACAAAAAGAUUUGACUCCAACUGAAGAACUCACUCUCAAAUGGAUUAUGCAAAAUCCAUUGCAGUUUCCAUUUGAGGAUGACAUGGAAUGUGCUCAACAAACUGUAUCUUCAUUGGAUUGCGGCAUGUUCGUCAUGUUCUAUAUGGAUAAAAUAGCACAAGGACAGCCCAUUCCAAAAAACGUGGACAAGAAAUUCAUGAAUGAAUAUCGAGCACAAUAUGUCACAAAACUCCUACACCACAAAAACUGUGUAAUUAAUCGUCUCUAGUGAUUUGCCUUUCGUUAACUCAAGACAAUAUGUAUCUUAAUUCUUGUGGAUGUUUGUAAAUAUUUCUAGUUAUGGUAUAUGAGAACAUAUUUCCUAUA